CGGGAUUGCAGGUUUAGACAGGUGACUGGAGUGGCGGUUUCGGUGCUGUGACGUGUGGUGGGUAUUCAGUCAUGCAUUACAUCUGCUGGAUGAAGGUUUGUUGGAGAAAGCUCGACUGGAAGAGAAAGGAGAAGAUGAAGCACUCAACAUAUUGCUCAUUGUGAUGGGAGACAUUCCACAUAUUGUCAAGACGCUUGCUCUAAGCCACAGACACAGAAAACCAAAGUUGAAAUUCUAUAUCAUUGAAAACAGUUUAGAAGUGAUCGCUAGGCACAUGCUCUUACUGGCCGUGUUAUUUGAACAGCCAGACCAACUUGGACUGCAAGGCAAGUUCGAGUUUGUUUUACUUGUGUCUUUGUGUAUAUAGAUAUAGUUUGCAUUUUAUUGUGAUAGAAGAGGUGGAGUUGUUUCUUGAGUUGUAUGGAAACUCUCUGAUUCAUCAGCAGACAUUCGAUUACCUCCAAACAAAAUGUGAUCAUAAAAUUUAUCAACCUGUUUUGAAGAACGACAGCAGCUACAGUGAUUCCUGAGUUGUGAUCACUCUACACAUGAGUUACUUCUUGCAGCUCAAUCAUCAGUUCAUCAAUGCAAUCCUGUGUCUGGUCAUUAGAGUAUUCGAAAUAUCUUGUUGGAAACACACCGGGAAGGCUACCCUACAAAGUCAUGAAUCUCGUCGUCUACUAAUCGUCUCGUUUCAAACUGUUCAUCAGUGGGUAUUCGUUUUUGCCAGAGUGAGCGUAUGGACUGUACAUCCGGGCCUUUACUAUAAUCUUUCUUGUCUAAUUCUCCUAUAAUGAUGUCUCAUGUGGUUGUCAGGGUUCAACUCACAGCAAUGUUUCAAAAGAUGUGCAACAAUCUCUGAGGUGCUCUUUGUGUACCAGUACAUGUCGAUCUAAAGCUGGACUUGCUUCUCAUAUGCAAGCUCAUCAACAUUAAGAUCGGACAAUCUAACAUCUUAUGUUUGAUUGUAAUGAGUAUAGUGUGUAUCUAUUGUAGACAAGCAUCGUUCAUAGUCAAGAGUACAAGAAGUGGAGAGUUGGGCCUUGGAUUUUAUACUGAUUAUGAAGAUGUUAUGUUUGUCUGUCUGUCUGUCCAAUACAUAUAUUUGAAACAUGAAUCUAGCAACAUACAAUAUGUAACUACGAGUCAAAUUAUA